AAACGCAGCAGCACAGCUUAGAUUUAUUUUUCUUUCUACCCAAAUUACAUUUUUAGUUACAUUUCUAUCACAAAUUUCUUUCUUUCGUUUCUUGAGUAUAUUUGAAGUCUAAAUUAUUUUCGAUUAUGCUGUCUUUGGGGUCCGUUAAAUUGUUGGCACUGGGCACGGCGGGUGCCCUCUUCCUUGGUUACUGUUUCUACUUUGAUCAGAGACGCACAUCGGCGCCCGACUACAAGAAGAAAGUCUUCCAGCGUCGCCAGCGGGAGGCGAUGGCCGCCAAGCGGCGAAUUAGGUUCAGAAACGAGCCACAACGGACCGGAGCAGGCGGCGACGUGGACGAUGACCAGCUGGAGAUGCAGACGCGAUUCUUGCACGAGGUGCAGAGUGGCGAGCAGCUCAUCAAGGAGGGUCGCGUGGACGAGGGCCUCACGCACCUGUGCACCGCCAUAAACCUGUGCGCCAACCCGGGCGCCCUCCUGGAGAUGCUCGAGGCCAAUCUGCCCGAAGCGCUCUUCCGUCCGCUGAUGAUGCGUCUGUCCGAGAUGAAUCCGCGCGAAAGCAGCAGCGAAUCCACCAGUGAGACGGAGUCCACCGAUCAGCUCAGCAGCAGCAGCAGCCCUUAGCCCUAGAGCCCUAGAGCCCUAGAGCCCCAGUGGCAGUGACUGCCGCUGAGUGAGUGGCAGCCUCUGCAUUUUCUGUGUGGACACACACACGCAGCCCACACACGCAGCACUGGAAUAUGCAAAAACUUUCGCUCUCUCUCAACCUGUUGGAGUGGAUGGUGGCUGGUUGGCUCCAGACUGGGAGGAGGACUCGUGAGUUGGGAAAGGUAAGGUGUAAUAAUCGUAGUUCAUACCAAUUCCAAUUCCCAGUUUCAGUUGCCGCUGUCAGCAGCAGGCAGGCCCAAGCAUAGGUCCCACAAUUCAUGGGCACGCGUUUCCACAAUGUUUUGAAAAUGUGACUGGGGGAGACGAAAGAGGCAGCCGGCAGAAGCACGUUUCUGUUACGCGGUGAGGUGCGAUGGCAGCGUUGCUGCGAGUCAAAGGCAGCCUUUCAUGGUAUUGGCUAUUGCCGCCCACAUACAGCAGUUGGGAUGUAAGCAACACACUGGUGACUGAAUACACACACAUAUUUGCAUGUCUUUAUGUACAUCUUGGGGCAGCUGUUGCAACGUGUUUGUGUCUCUUCCACUCACUGACAAAGCGUUUGUUUCUCUCGACUUAUCAGACAGAAAAAAGCCUCCAUGUCGUAUGCGUUACGUGCUAAGACCCCGGGCUUACAACUAAUAGGGAAAAGAAAGACGAAAACCAAAGGAAAACGAGUGAAAAGAAGUGGAGAAGACGAAGAAAGCAGCGAGAAAACAAAUGGAAAGACGUUAAAACAUAGAAAAUCAGAGGAAAAAUCAUCGGGAUGUCAGAGGAAACCCCGGUGCAGCAGACUGUCUGGCGAGAAUUUCUUGCAAGUUGAGUGAGAAUCUAUAGUCCAGGAAUCCGUGCUAACAUUUCUCCGUUUCCUUUCCAGAAGAACACACUGCCUGCGGACACUCGUGUGUAUCCCACAUGCCCGAUCCGUAGCACAUGCAAAUUCAAUUAAUGCAAAAAUGCCAUUCCAUACAUACAAAUCUACGUAUAUGUAAUGUACUCGCACACACACAUAUGUAUGUAUGUAUGUGUGUGUGUGUGUGUGUGUGUGCAUACAAUUAACUCGCUUCCUCCACGAGCCCGCUCUUCCCAAUACAAAAUCCAAAUAAAACAGAAUAGAACCAAAGUGCAGAGAGUUAUAGGCGGGACUGGCGUCACCUUGUCGUUGCCUCGUUGCCUCGUUGCCUCGUUGCUGGAAUCUCGAGCCGACUUUGCUUGAUUUAUCAACAGCAAACGGCAGUGGCAACAUUUCAAUGCAAAACGUGUAACAAUUUGUAAGAUUUACAUAACCCAGAAGCCCGGGCCAGAAGUAGAACUCACAGCCAUAGUCGUAGCACUUGAAUUCGACUUGGUAGCUAAUGAAAUUAAACAAAAAUAAAAACUUAAUAGUAAACAAUCCAUUAAACAAAUACAUGAACAGUUAAUGAUAGUUCAACCUGAAAUACGAUUAAUAAAC
rnacentral:lncRNA from 1 species